GGAGGGGUUUGUGUUCGAUGCUCGGGGAAAUACCUCAAAACAGAAGCUGGUUGUCUUCAAGAAUCCACGCACCUCUGACCAUGAGUUUCGGUAUAAAAGCUGAGCGCUUCAGUCCAAACGCAUAUUUGCAGUCUACCUUCCGACGAGCAAACACGUUAAGAAAUGGCAAAAUUUGUUAUGAUCGCUCUUUUUGCUGCCUUCGUGGCCAUCUGCUCUGCUGCCAGCUACGGUGGCGUGAAAGAUUUGGCCGGUAACUACUACGACUUCUCCACAGGACAGUACUCCAGCGCCCUCACCGGCAAGGUCUACAACACUGCUCCCGUCGUGCUGCCGUACAGUGCACCCCUUGUGGCACCAGUUGCUCCCUAUUAUUAUGGAGCCUACCCAUAUGGAGCCUAUCCCUAUGCUCCAUACGCUGUCGCCCCAUUCCUUAAGAAAUAGAUGAUGCCAUAUGAUGAAUUUCUAUGAAGACGCCCACAAGUCACUAUUUAAGAUCAUCGAGCCAAACGUUUUUUUACAUUUCUGAAAAAAAAAGCAAAAUUUUGAAAGCCAAAAUAUCUUGUUUUGCCAUAUGCUGAGAGCUUGUACAGAAAAAGAAUAAAUGAAUAUUUUGGUGUACAUUUC